rnacentral:rRNA from 1 species
GAUGAACGCUGGCGGCGUGCUUAACACAUGCAAGUCGAACGGGAAAUAUUUCAUUGAGACUUCGGUGGAUUUGAUCUAUUUCUAGUGGCGGACGGGUGAGUAACGCGUGGGUAACCUGCCUUAUACAGGGGGAUAACAGUCAGAAAUGGCUGCUAAUACCGCAUAAGCGCACAGAGCUGCAUGGCUCAGUGUGAAAAACUCCGGUGGUAUAAGAUGGACCCGCGUUGGAUUAGCUAGUUGGUGGGGUAACGGCCCACCAAGGCGACGAUCCAUAGCCGGCCUGAGAGGGUGAACGGCCACAUUGGGACUGAGACACGGCCCAGACUCCUACGGGAGGCAGCAGUGGGGAAUAUUGCACAAUGGGGGAAACCCUGAUGCAGCGACGCCGCGUGAAGGAAGAAGUAUCUCGGUAUGUAAACUUCUAUCAGCAGGGAAGAUAGUGACGG